rnacentral:rRNA from 1 species
GACGAACGCUGGCGGCGUGCUUAACACAUGCAAGUCGAACGGAAAGGCCCUGCUUUUGUGGGGUGCUCGAGUGGCGAACGGGUGAGUAACACGUGAGUAACCUGCCCUUGACUUUGGGAUAACUUCAGGAAACUGGGGCUAAUACCGGCUAGGAGCUCCUGCUGCAUGGUGGGGGUUGGAAAGUUUCGGCGGUUGGGGAUGGACUCGCGGCUUAUCAGCUUGUUGGUGGGGUAGUGGCUUAGCAAGGCUUGGACGGGUAGCCGGCCUGGGCGGGUGACCGGCCACAUUGGGACUGAGAUACGGCCCAGACUCCUACGGGAGGCAGCAGUGGGGAAGAUUGCACAAUGGGCGGAAGCCUGAUGCAGCAACGCCGCGUGCGGGAUGACGGCCUUCGGGUUGUAAACCGCUUUCGCCUGUGACGAAGCGUGAGUGACGGUAAUGGGUAAAGAAGCACCGGCUAACUACGUG